rnacentral:tRNA from 1 species
GCCUCGGUAGCUUAGUUGGUUAAAGCACUCGAUUGGUAAUCGAGAGACCGCGUGUUCAAUUCACGCCCGAGGCU